rnacentral:rRNA from 1 species
CCUACGGGAGGCAGCAGUGAGGAAUAUUGGUCAAUGGGCGAGAGCCUGAACCAGCCAAGUAGCGUGCAGGAUGACGGCCCUAUGGGUUGUAAACUGCUUUUAUAAGGGAAUAAAGUGAGCCUCGUGAGGCUUUUUGCAUGUACCUUAUGAAUAAGGACCGGCUAAUUCCGUGCCAGCAGC